rnacentral:rRNA from 1 species
CCUACGGGGGGCAGCAGUGGGGGAUAUUGCACAAUGGGGGGAACCCUGAUGCAGCGACGCCGCGUGGGUGAAGAAGCGCCUCGGCGCGUAAAGCCCUGUCAGCAGGGAAGAAAAUGACGGUACCUGAAGAAGAAGCCCCGGCUUAAUACGUGCCAGCAGCCGUGGUAAUACGUGGGGGGCAAGCGUUAUCCGGAUUUACUGGGGGUAAAGGGGGCGCAGACGGGGGUGCAAGCCAGGAGUGAAAGCCCGGGGCCCAACCCCGGGACAGCUGUUGGAACUGCGUGGCUGGAGUGGAGGAGGGGCAGGCGGAAUGCGUGGUGUAGCGGUGAAAUGCGUAGAUAUCAGGAGGAACACCGGUGGCGAAGGCGGCCUGCUGGACUGCAACUGACGUUGAGGCCCGAAAGCGUGGGGAGCAAACAGGAUUAGAUACCCUGGUAGUC